GAAGGUGGCCUGUGAGGGUUGCUGGAGGUAUCAGAAGUGCGAAUGCUGACAUAAGUAACGAUAAAGCGGGUGAAAAGCCCGCUCGCCGGAAGACCAAGGGUUCCUGUCCAACGUUAAUCGGGGCAGGGUGAGUCGACCCCUAAGGCGAGGCCGAAAGGCGUAGUCGAUGGGAAACGGGUUAAUAUUCCCGUACUUGGUGUUACUGCGAAGGGGGGACGGAGAAGGCUAUGUUGGCCGGGCGACGGUUGUCCCGGUUUAAGCGUGUAGGUGUGUGUUCCAGGUAAAUCCGGUUCACUUUAACACUGAGGCGUGACGACGAGGCACUACGGUGCUGAAGCAACAAAUGCCCUGCUUCCAGGAAAAGCCUCUAAGCAUCAGGUAACAUCAAAUCGUACCCCAAACCGACACAGGUGGUCAGGUAGAGAAUACCAAGGCGCUUGAGAGAACUCGGGUGAAGGAACUAGGCAAAAUGGUGCCGUAACUUCGGGAGAAGGCACGCUGACACGUAGGUGAAGUGAUUUACUCAUGGAGCUGAAGUCAGUCGAAGAUACCAGCUGGCUGCAACUGUUUAUUAAAAACACAGCACUGUGCAAACACGAAAGUGGACGUAUACGGUGUGACGCCUGCCCGGUGCCGGAAGGUUAAUUGAUGGGGUCAGCGCAAGCGAAGCUCCUGAUCGAAGCCCCGGUAAACGGCGGCCGUAACUAUAACGGUCCUAAGGUAGCGAAAUUCCUUGUCGGGUAAGUUCCGACCUGCACGAAUGGCGUAAUGAUGGCCAGGCUGUCUCCACCCGAGACUCAGUGAAAUUGAACUCGCUGUGAAGAUGCAGUGUACCCGCGGCAAGACGGAAAGACCCCGUGAACCUUUACUAUAGCUUGACACUGAACAUUGAGCCUUGAUGUGUAGGAUAGGUGGGAGGCUUUGAAGUGUGGACGCCAGUCUGCAUGGAGCCGACCUUGAAAUACCACCCUUUAAUGUUUGAUGUUCUAACGUGGACCCGUUACCCGGGUUGCGGACAGUGUCUGGUGGGUAGUUUGACUGGGGCGGUCUCCUCC
rnacentral:rRNA from 3 species